rnacentral:rRNA from 1 species
AAAUGAAUAGACGGGGACCCGCACAAGCAGUGGAUCAUGUGGUUUAAUUCGACAAUAAACGAGGAACCUCACCUAGGCUUGACAUUGAUAGAAAGAAGCAGAAAUGUUUCUGUGCCCGCAAGGGAACUUGAAAACAGGUGCUGCAUGGUUGUCGUCAGCUCGUGCCUUGAGGUGUUCGGUUAAGUCCGUUAACGAGCGCAACCCAUAUCGUAUGUUACUAUGUCAUACGAGACUGCUCGAGUUAAUCGAGAGGAAGGUGUGGAUGACGUCAAAUCAGCAUGGCCCUUAUGCCUAGGGCUACACACAUGAUACAAUGGUCGGUACAAACUGUUGCAACACUGCGAAGUGAAGCCAAUCAGAAAAAGCCGAUCUCAGUCCAGAUUGGAGUCUGCAACUCGACUCCAUGAAGUUGGAAUUGCUAGUAAUCGUGAAUCAGCCAUGUCACGGUGAAUCUGUUCCCGGGUCUUGUACACACCGCCCGU